ensembl:lncRNA
GGACUAUUCCCAUUUUACAGAUGAGAAAACUGAGGCUCAGAGCUUUAAGUCACCAGUCUGCUCCUUCUUACAUUCUGGUUUUUAGAAAAUGGUGCCACCACAUAUGCAGACACACAAGCCAAAGUCCUAUGAGUGAGCUCUGGUUUAUCCCUUUCUCUCUCACUUCUCAUAUCCAACUUACCAUUCAGGCCUGCUGAUUUUAGUUCUUAAAUAUCCCUUAGCUUCUGUUGUUUCUUUCCAUUGAAAUUCUCAUUGCAGCCCUUCUGUGGAUUACCUCCUGGCCUUCCACCUGUGUGUCUGUGUCCAUGUUGUCUCCAGUCUGUCCUCCACGUAAGUCAGACCAUGCCCCAUACCUCCCAGUCCUCCUUAGAAUGAGGAAAAGCCUCCUCACCAUGGCCACAGGCUCCUUUCCAUUUCUCUGACCUCACGGCAUGCCCCUCCUCUCUGCUCUGCACUGCAAAGACUCCACGUGUUUUACUAGCCAAGGUCAAGGUCCCCUUGCAUCACAUAUUUGCCUGGGAUGCCAGAUUCUUUUUACUUUGCCCACUUACUGCCCACUCAUUCUUCUGAUUUCAGUCCCUCCCUAGGGGAAACCUUUCCUGACCUUUGUAACUAAAGCAAAGACUUCUCUUGGGUGCUCUCAUUGUUCCAGGGACCUGCCUGCACAGCACUUGUACCAGUUAAUCCUUCACAUUAACUUGAGUGACAGAUAUGUUAGUGUCUGCUGCUUCCUCCCAGGAAUGAAGCCAGAAAAAGCUGGAGUGCAACACUGCAAUCUCGGCUUAUUGCAACAACUGCCUAGUGGGUUCCAGUGAUCGUCCUUCCGAUGUCUCCAAUGUAACUACGGUUGAAUGUGUCAACACCACCAGGCUGGAGUGCAAGAGUGCGAUCUUGACUUACUGCAACAACAGCCUCCUGUGUUCCAGCAAUCAUCCAGCCGAUGCCUCCGAAGUAACUGGGGUUGCAGGUGUCCACAUCACCACAUCCAGCUAACUUUCAAUUUUUUUUUUUUUUGGUACCUCAAAUCUAUCUGUAUUUGAUUUCUACAAAAGAGCUGCAUGGGCAAAAAAAAAAAAAAAAUACAAAACGACACAAACAUUUGCGUGUCAGUCUUGCACUGUGUCCAUGCCGGCUUUUUGUGUAGCAUCCCAAUUUUAGUGUAGGUGCUGCCAAAUCGAGCACAUGCAAUGCCUGUCUUAGCAUUUUUAUGGUUAUUUGGUUAUAUGUUUUUCAUAGGGAGAGGGUUGCGCUGUGUCGUUCGACGCAAUUCUCAAAAUUGUGACCUAACAAUCCGCCCACCUCGGCAUUCCAAAGUUCUCAGAUUACAGGCGUGAGUGGCCGAGCCAAGCCCCAGUUGUGUUUUCGUUUUAAAGACAGGGAUUUGUUAUGUUGGUCAUGCCAGUAUCCAACCCGCAACCUCACGAGAUCCACAUCCCUCAGUUUUGAAGCACCUAGAUGACAGGUUCUCAUGAUGCAUUGUUCUUGGCCACCGAAUUUUAUUGUUAGUAAAGAAAUAAGGGAGACUGUGCCAGGCGCUUUGACUCACGCCAGCAAUCCCAGCCCUUUAAUAGACUGAGGUGGGCAGGUCACCUGCAGUCUCGAGUUCCGGGUCAGCCUGGGCAUCCAGGUGAAAGCCCAUUCCACUUAAAAAAAGAAGAAGAAAUAGUAAACAAGAGAAAUCAGACAGAUUAGUGUGCACAAUUGGAACAAAACGAGGUGCUGGGUGACUCCACCCCCCACCCCGCCUUUCUUUUUGACGUACUGCUUUGCUCUUGUUACCCAGGCUGGAGUGCAACACUGGGAUCUUAGCUUAUUGCAAAAACUGCCUAGUGGGUUCCAGUGAUCGUCCUGCCGAUGCCUCACAAGUAACUGGGGUUGAAUGUGUCAACACCACCAGGUCCAGCUAACUUACUGUUUAUUUUUGUGAACCUAAAAUCUAUCUGUAUUUGAUUUGUACAAAACAGCCACAACAGCAAAACUAAAUGAAUAAAUAAAAAACGGAACGCUGGACAGCUUAGCGUGUCAUUCUUGCGCUGAGGCCAGGCCGGCCUUUUAUGUAGCAUCCC